rnacentral:rRNA from 1 species
CCUAGGCGGCGAACGGGUGAGGAAUGCUUGGGAAUCUGCCUGGUAGUGGGGGAUAACGUUCCGAAAGGAACGCUAAUACCGCAUACGUCCUACGGGAGAAAGGGGGGGAUCUUCGGACCUCUCGCUAUCAGAUGAGCCCAAGCGGGAUUAGCUAGUUGGUGGGGUAAAGGCCCACCAAGGCGACGAUCCCUAGCUGGUCUGAGAGGAUGAUCAGCCACACUGGAACUGAGACACGGUCCAGACUCCUACGGGAGGCAGCAGUGGGGAAUAUUGGACAAUGGGGGAAACCCUGAUCCAGCCAUGCCUCGUGUGUGAAGAAGGGCCUUCCGGGUUGUAAAGCACUUUAAGCGGGGAAGGAAUGUUCGUUUACUUAAUACGUAACGGAGUUGACCGUUACCCCGCAGGAUAAACACCGGGCUAACUUCUGUGCCAGCAGCCGCGGUAAUACAGAGGGUGCAAGCGUUAAUCGGAAUUACUGGGCGUAAAGCGCGCGUAGGCGGUUGUGUAGUUGUGACUGAAAUCCCCGGGCUUAACCUGGGCACUGCAUUCAAAACUGCACGGCUAGAGUAUGGGAGAGGAAGGUAGAAUUCCAGGUGUAGCGGUGAAAUGCGUAGAGAUCUGGAGGAAUACCGAUGGCGAAGGCAGCCUUCAGGCCUAAUACUGACGCUGAGGUGCGAAAGCAUGGGGAGCAAACAGGAUUAGAUACCCUGGUAGUCCAUGCCGUAAACGAUGUCGACUAGGUGUUGGGGAACUUGAUUCCUUAGUGCCGCAGCUAACGCAUUAAGUCGACCGCCUGGGGAGUACGGCCGCAAGGUUAAAACUCAAAUGAAUUGACGGGGGCCCGCACAAGCGGUGGAGCAUGUGGUUUAAUUCGAUGCAACGCGAAGAACCUUACCUACUCUUGACAUCCAGAGAAUCCUGUAGAGAUACGGGAGUGCCUUCGGGAAUUCUGAGACAGGUGCUGCAUGGCUGUCGUCAGCUCGUGUCGUGAGAUGUUGGGUUAAGUCCCGCAACGAGCGCAACCCUUAUCCUUAGUUGCCAGCACGUAUUGGUGGGAACUCUAGGAGACUGCCGGUGACAACCCGAGGAAGGCGGGGACAACGUCAAGUCAUCUGGCCCUUACAGUAGGGCUACCACGUGCUACAUGGUCGUACAAAGG